rnacentral:rRNA from 1 species
CCCUUAGAGUUUGAUCCUGGCUCAGGAUGAACGCUAGCUACAGGCUUAACACAUGCAAGUCGAGGGGAAACGAUAUUGGAAGCUUGCUUCCGAUAGGCGUCGACCGGCGCACGGGUGAGUAACGCGUAUCCAACCUGCCCACCACUUGGGGAUAACCUUGCGAAAGUAAGACUAAUACCCAAUGAUAUCUCUAGAAGACAUCUGAAAGGGAUUAAAGAUUCAUCGGUGAUGGAUGGGGAUGCGUCUGAUUAGCUUGUUGGCGGGGUAACGGCCCACCAAGGCUACGAUCAGUAGGGGUUCUGAGAGGAAGGUCCCCCACAUUGGAACUGAGACACGGUCCAAACUCCUACGGGAGGCAGCAGUGAGGAAUAUUGGUCAAUGGGCGAGAGCCUGAACCAGCCAAGUAGCGUGCAGGAUGACGGCCCUAUGGGUUGUAAACUGCUUUUAUAAGGGAAUAAAGUGGGAGUCGUGACUCUUUUUGCAUGUACCUUAUGAAUAAGGACCGGCUAAUUCCGUGCCAGCAGCCGCGGUAAUACGGAAGGUCCGGGCGUUAUCCGGAUUUAUUGGGUUUAAAGGGAGCGUAGGCCGGAGAUUAAGCGUGUUGUGAAAUGUAGAUGCUCAACAUCUGCACUGCAGCGCGAACUGGUUUCCUUGAGUACGCACAAAGUGGGCGGAAUUCGUGGUGUAGCGGUGAAAUGCUUAGAUAUCACGAAGAACUCCGAUUGCGAAGGCAGCUCACUGGAGCGCAACUGACGCUGAAGCUCGAAAGUGCGGGUAUCGAACAGGAUUAGAUACCCUGGUAGUCCGCACGGUAAACGAUGGAUGCCCGCUGUUGGUCUGAAUAGGUCAGCGGCCAAGCGAAAGCAUUAAGCAUCCCACCUGGGGAGUACGCCGGCAACGGUGAAACU